AAUCACACAAUGAACAGUUGUUAAUUUGUUAAAAUUUGUCCUAAAAGUUAAUUUAAAUUCUUAUUAAUUAGAUGAUAUCAAUAAUCGCGAUAUAUUGAUCAGCCUAUUUUCAGUUUUUCACAUGUAAAGGUUUUUCAUUGAAUGGGUAAACCCGACUUUUGUUUUCAAGAUCAUUUCAAUUAUGUUUUUAAUUUAUUAAAUUAGUAUCAACAACCAACGUCCACCAUUGAGUUAUCAAUUUACCCAAUCAAAAGAGCAACAAAAGGAAAAUCAAAGGAUAUAAAAUCAUAAAUUACAUUUGUGCAAGUGAUAAACGAUAGACGCUUAGAUAUGGCCGUACAAGUAAAAGUGUGCGCAACAAGUAACAUGAUGAACCUGUUUAACUUCAUCAGGCCUUUUCUUCAUCUUUUUAUUGAACAUCCUUCAUGAUGAUGAUCAUCACCAACAACAACAACAACAACAUCAGAAUGAUGAACCAGUCUCUCUGGAUGAUGUAACAAGUAUACAGAGGACGAUAAAGAAGAUGAGCAAGAAAUAAAUAAAAAAAAGCAAGACAACGUUCAAUUUAUCAUCUUCAUCUUCUCAGCCGGUUACCAGGCUCAAAGUCUCUCUUCACUGAUUCUUCUCUCUCCUCAUUCCCUUUCUCUUUCCUCCAUCUUUCAUCCUCUUUAUCUUUAAUUUUUUUCUUUCAACAACCACUUUUAAAGCCUACAUUCUUCUUCUCCUUAUUCACCGUCAUAAAGAUUCCUUGCCAACUUCAUUACCAAUGGAAGUUACCUUUUCCUCUUUCUUUCUUUCCUCUUUCUCUCAUCAAUUCUAUCAUCUUACUCUUUCAAUCAAAUCUUCUCCAUCAACCGACAUCUUUUUUUCCCUGUGUAGGUAGUGUUUACCUUGCACUUGUUUUGUCUCUCAUCUUAUCCCUUUUAGUUUCAUUUUUUUCCUCACUUUCCUUCUUUCUCCAGACAACUCUUUGUUUUUUGCCCUCUUAUCAUCCUCCUUCUCCUUCUCCUCCCUUUAGUUUAAAAUCAGUGUGAAAAUAAGUAUUUGGCAGGUAAUAAGAACCAAAAAACGGCCCAAGAAAAAGCUAGUAAAGAUAAUCGUCACUUGAAAAUGUUGUGGUAAAGAAGCCAAAACCAAUUAUCCACUGUAAUCCGGUUUUUUAAAACAAUGUCCAGUCUAAGUAGAAGAUUUUCAAAAAAAAACUUUCUCUUCUCUACCAUCAUCAUCAUCAUACAUUUUCUUGAACCUUUUUUGACUCCCUUAAAGCCACCAAGUAAAUUAUUAUGCCUUUGAGAGGUAAAACAAGUAAACUUUACUAGUUUACCUGGAGAACAUUGAACUUCUACUUUUUACGCUCUUCUUCAUUAGAUUGACCGAUCUUCUUUGUACCUUCUUUACACCAUUAUUUUAACAAGUAAAAGUAAGAAGAUGCUGACUAUUAAGAUGGUUGGUCAUUUAAGUGUCUUUAAAAAUGACAUUGCCAUUCAAAGUGUAGGAGGCUUUGGGUGGGAAGAUUUGUCGACCCUCUACAAGAUGAAAUAACAACCAGGCAAGAAAAAUAAUGAACCAAAUACAAAUGUACCUUGAAUUACAAGAACACAAUCAACAUACAAAUGAUAUUGUUAACAACCAUAAGCAUUAGCCUUUUUUCAGUCAAUCCAGCAAUAAAAAAGCACAAUUUUGAAAGGCCUUUUAUUGUAAUACUUAAAAACACUGUUAACAUUCAUAACUUGUAGUAUAAUGAACAAAAUUGUUAACCUUAAAAUGUAAAUUCAUCUGCAAAUUUCAGCUCAAAAUCCUAUUUCAGGGUGUAUCAAAGUAACACCCAGAAUCACAGUGUUAACAGAAAAAAGAUUUAAAAUUUAACAACAAUUGAGAUUCUCAAUGUUACAAUCAAAUGAAGAUCUUCAACCAAGAGUCUCAAGAUAUUUCAUUCACAUCUAAACGGAUCUGUGACUUGACCAAAUUGGCAGUUAAUCAAGUAAACAAUCCAAAUGGUCACAAUUCAAAAUCCAAAUUUGUUACAGUUAACUCAAUUGAACAAAGUGUCACUUGACUGCCUAAUAGUCAACAAGUAAAAGUUUACUGGUGAAAAAAUUAUGACUUGACUGACGUUGAUGAUGAUCAUCAUGAUGAUUAUGGUACUGGUGAUGAUAAUGGUGAUUAUGAUGACAAUAAUCAAGAAACAAGGAAGAGAUGCUUCUGUAAACAUGGACGACUUUUGGCCCUAAUUUACCUUUUUUUGGCUGUUGCUUGAGAAGCUGAAAAUUGUUUCAUCAACAUCAUAAUCAUCUUUAAUGUACUUUCAUUAACUACUAACACAGAUUUUUACCAUCAAUUUAACCCAUUAAUCAAUUAUCAAGACGUCAAUCCAUAUUGACCAAUCAACUUGAAUGGGUUACAUCUUUAAAGCUCUGAUAAGCUCAACAAUUGCAAGAUUAAAGUGGAUUCAAACAAUUA